rnacentral:rRNA from 1 species
GCCCCCGGCCCUUUCACUUCAUAUUGGUAGAAGCGUCAUCCCUGAAUCAAGCAAAGUUCCAGCAGCCGUAGGCGGUAUUUUAUAUGGAUAUCAGAUAGACUCGGUGUUUUUGGUGGUUGCCCUUUGAGUAUGUUAAUGGAACAGUCGGGGUAUCCGUUUUAGGAGCUAGAGGUAAAUUCUUGAUUUCCGAAGGCCGACUCCAGGGAAGGCAUUACCAAGCAUGUUUCAUUAUUCAAGAACGAAAGUCUGGGGAUCGAAGAUGAUUAGAUCCCAUCGUAGUUUAGCCCGUAAACGAUGCCGACUUGCGAUUGCGGGUGGCUGGUAUUGGGCUUCCGCAGCAGCACAUGAGAAAUCAAAGUCUUUGGGUUCCGGGGGGAGUAUGGUCGCAAGGCUGAAACUAAAAGGAAUUGACGGAAGGCCACCCCCAGGAGUGGACCCUGCGGCUUAAUUUGACUCACCACGGGAAAACUUACCAGGUCCAGACAUAGUUAGGAUUGCCAGAUUGAGAGUUCUUUCUGGAUUUUAUGGGUGUUGGUGCAUGCCCGUUCUUAGUUGGUGGAGUGAUUUGUUUGGUUAAUUCCGUUAACGAACGAGACUUCGCCCUAUUAAUUACCCGGGCGUAGGGGGACAUACGUGUUGGUGGUUUCUUAGAGGGACAUUUUCGGUUUAGGAGCAGGAAUUUGGAGGCAAUACCAGGUCGGGGAUGCCCUUAGAUGUUCUGGCCCCCACGCGCGCUCCCCUGAGGGGUUCACCGGGUGUUGUUGUGUUUUUGCGCGGCGUUGCUUUGUCGGAAGGCAUGGCUAAUCCUUUGAACGCCCAUCGUGCUGGGGCUAGAUUUUUGCAAUUAUUAAUCUCCAACGAGGAAUUCCUAGUAAACGCAAGUCAUCAGCUUGCAUUGAAUACGUCCCUGCCCUUUGUACACACCGCCCGUCGCACCUACCGAUUGAACGGUCCGAUGAAACCAUGGGACUACCUUUUGAGCGUUUGUUCGCGAUGGAGGUGGAACUCGGGUGAAUCUUAUGCUAGAGGAAAGA